rnacentral:rRNA from 1 species
UACGUAGGGUGCAAGCGUUAUCCGGAAUCACUGGGCGUAAAGCGUGCGUAGGUGGCGUGUUAAGUGUGAUGUUAAAUCGCGGGGCUCAACCCUGUCGGUGCAUCGCAUACUGGCAUGCUAGAGGGAAGCAGAGGCAAGUGGAAUUUGUAGUGUAGCAGUGAAAUGCGUAGAUAUUACAAGGAACACCAAUGGCGAAGGCAGCUUGCUGGGCUUCUUCUGACACUGAGGUACGAAAGCGUGGGGAGCGAACAGG